CCUACGGGAGGCAGCAGUGGGGAAUUUUGGACAAUGGGCGAAAGCCUGAUCCAGCAAUGCCGCGUGCAGGAUGAAGGCCUUCGGGUUGUAAACUGCUUUUGUACGGAACGAAAAGCUUCGGGUUAAUACCCUGGAGUCAUGACGGUACCGUAAGAAUAAGCACCGGCUAACUACGUGCCAGCAGCCGCGGUAAU
rnacentral:rRNA from 1 species